UGUAUUUUAUUAUAUGAUGUAUAAAAAUUUUUGGAAUUUUUGGUAAUAGUUUAAAUCUAUUAAAUGCAA
rnacentral:tRNA from 1 species